GCUGGGCACGGUGGCCCAUGCCUGUAAUCCCAGCAGCUGGGGAGGCUGAGACAGGAAGAUUGUCAGUUCAAAACCAGCCUCAGCAAAAGCAAGGCACUAAGCAACUGAGUGAGACCCUGUCUCUA
rnacentral:sRNA from 1 species